GAGAAACUGCGUUUACUUUAUGGUCUGGAGUCAACUUUCCUUUUUUUUGGUUGCUGAGAUGUAAUUAAGCUUUAAAAUAAGUUCAUAGAUUCACACUUUGAGAAUGUCUCCUAGACUAUAAUCUUCCUGACUUAUACAGAUGUGCAAAAAUUUGAUACCUUUUUACUAUGCUUAGAAAAGAUAACUUUGGCUAUAGAUUAGCAUGGAUUCAAGAAAAAAAUAAUAUUACCAUUGGUUAAUCCUGCUGUUUGGACUUUCGAUUGGAAUUGCAUCUAACUUACUCCUGAACAUAAAUUUUCCAUUUUAUAGAUAUUCUUGACAAAUUCAUGCAUUCCUGACCUGUCAAUGUGAAUUUCUGCUAAAGUAAUGCAACUGGCAACUGCAUUCCUUUAUUUGCUUGCAAGUUGGGUUUUUCUAUAUGAGUUUUUGAGAGAGAUAUGUACAAGCGUGUAUAUCUGUGUGUGUAUCCAUUCAUGAAUAGUCUUCUUUUCAAAUAUUUUAGAUGUCUCCAAAUCUGGCAAUAAAGUUUAACUAUGU
rnacentral:misc_RNA from 1 species